UCCACAUUGUUGAUGAUCACACAGACACCUCUGGACUCGCUGGCCAUGCUAUAACAACCCUCCUGCAAAAAGUAUAGGGUCUUCUUCUUGGGAGGCAGCCUUGACAUGGAGCCAUGGUGAUCCUGGACAGGAACAGCUUAAAAACACAGAGAAAACCAGUCUCACUUUAACAGACGUAUGAGUUAGCAGGUUUGCAAUGGUGCAAUGUUUGGUGUUCACACUGCUCUGGGUUUGUGCUGUGGCACUGCAUUCCCUUGGGAGUACAAAGAGAGUAUCUCAAACGACUGAGCCAAGUGUCUCUAGGAGCACAGACCCGACGGCUGAGACAGUUACUUUAGGACCAGUUGAGACCCAAAGCCCUGAUACACACACACACCAGAGCCUAGUAGAAGAACAAGAACCACUUCCCUCAGACCCCUGUCAGGAUGACGAGUUUGAUAAGAGGGUGUACCAGAGAGAUUCUAAUGGUGUUAUGCAGCUGAUUCAGGGAGAGGACUACAAACAGACUUGCAACUUAUCAGACACUCCAGGUGAACAGGCCCACUGUCUUAUCUACCCUACCAAUCAACUCAACUGCUCCUGGAAUUUCCACGGUCUCCCUAACUACAGCCAAUACUAUGCCUCCGUCUUUGUGUGUAAGAAAACUAAGAGAAUCUCCAGUGUGGACUGUGUCACUGAGGCCAUAGGAGGCCAAGGAGCCCAGGGAGGGACUGGUAAGGCUGACCGUGUGGUUGGACAUGUGUCUGCUGGGUGCCAAGGCAGUGUGGACAACAGCGCCACCUCGGUGAUCCUGACUUUCAACGUGUCAUGCUCUGACGUGUGGGGCAUCUACACCCAUAAAUACCAGACCAAUGAUAUUGAUGUGCUGUGCCCGCCCCCCAACAUCAACCCAGCCUGGGUCAGAGAGGGGGUUCUGCUGGUGCAGUGGGGUCUCCCGUCCACCCGGAUAAAAACCAAAUGCAGCUGCUUCCACUACCAGCUACAGAUCAAUGACCAGGUGAGGGACUUUAAGGGGGGAGUGACAUACAAUGAGACCAACGCAGACCCCACACAUUCAUACGAUGUGAAGAUGAGGGUGAGGAAGAGUAGUACCUGCAGAGGAUCUCAACACUGGAGCAGCUGGAGCAACACCACCAUGGUGGCCCCGUUUGAAUCUCCCAAUCAGCUGAACUCUCUGGUGGUCGUUGGCAUCGCUCUGGGAAUACCAAUGAUCCUCCUGUCUCUGCUGCUGCUGAUUCGACUCCAGAGGGAACGUCUGUUUCCCCACAUCCCUGGUCCCCCACUGAAGAUUAAACACCUCUUGGAGAGAGACGACCAGUUUCAGUUUGUCCCUCAGGCCCUGCAGUCCAAAUUUGUUGAGGAGAUCACAGUGGUGGAAGAAGCUAAGGAAACACCUGUGAAUUUGGCCAAUUAAACAAGAUGGCCUGUUUAAAGCCCAAUCAUCCUUAUCCCCUAGACUCUGUAAGGGCUGAUCUAUAAGGAGGAUCCCCUUAGCAGAUGCAGUCAUUACCAUUUGUUAAUAUCUAUCCAAUCCUUUCAAGAGUGGACGCUACUUAUUGACAUGCAUUGUUCUUACAUGCUUAUUAGUGUCUACUCAAUGAAUUGUUCUAAUGUGCUCAGCUUCUACCAGUGUUGUAGUACUCGAGACUGAGACUAGUCCAGUCUCGAGACCACAUAUUGGUCUUGUCUUGGUGUCAGCUACUUUCGUACUCGGUCUUGACUCGGUCUCGGACAGUGAGGACUCGUAAUUUCUUCCCUAGACCAGUGGAGUAAAAAACUCAAACAUAUACACUCCUUUCUUAACAACCUUUAUCUAACUUAACAACCUUUAUCUAUUGUAGACAUGUUUGCGCAGUGGUGAACCUAAAGGACUUCAGUGUGUGACAGGUUGGUGAUUCUGAAAGGACAGCAACCGUAAUACCAGCGCACUCAUGUAGGAGAGUGCACUUUUAGUAAAACACAAAGGGACAGUGGUGUAGUGGAGUAUACGCAGGUAUAAACCGUAUACUCAUUUUUUUCAGUGGGCAUUGCCUAUACUCACUUAAUCCAUAUAGAUGCGUAUCAAAGUAGUGUAGUGGAGGCAGUGGCGACCCGUCAUUAAGGGCAGUUUUUGAGUCCCACCUGUUUAGCAGGGGUGUGCCUGUUUUGCAUGUUAUUUUGCCAUUAAUAUGUGUCACAUAUCAGUUUGAAAAAAAUGAUUGAGUUAAUAAAGCUUCAUACGAACAUGGUCUUUUUUUUGCUUUCUUGAGUAAGGCAGCUCCAAAAUGCAGGUGUUUCAACUUAGCUCAGUGCUUUCUGUGGUGGUGGGGCAGCCAGCGGAAAAUACUGAGCGUAGGGGUUGGUAAUGUUCUCUUGUUGCGCCUUGAAAGUAUGACUCAGUGUUCUGUCACUCAUGGGGACACUACGUCAUGGCAAAAUUCAAGCCCCUUGGGUGCUGCCAUAGAGUUACAUUAGAAGUGCCCAUCCAAUAAGGCUCAAGGUCAUUGGCCACAGAUAAAAUGAUAUCAAAUCAUGUUAUAUCUACCAUAGCUUUGAUUGGAUGGAUCAUGUCAACGUCAUACUUUCUAAAUCUUAGCUAGCAAGCUAGCAGUCAUGAUCAUGAAUGUAGUCGGCAAUCUACAGGCAAAUCCUUUUCAAUCCUUGUCAUGGGAAGAGAAAUUAUGAAGAUAAAUUAUAGAUAAAACGUAUCUAGUGCUCAUCGGUCAAAGUGCUCAUCGGUCAUUGGACAUAAACAUUACACAAGAAGUUGGAAAUUGCAAAUUCAACAAUGAGUGGUUUGAAAGGAAUCAGUGGCUAACUAAAAACAUUGCAAAGCAAUCACUACCCUGCUACUCAGUGGGGUGGGUUUAAGGGUCGCUUUUCCAAGCUUAUUUGAUAUUUGGUAUUUUAUUAGGAUCCCCAUUAGCUGUUGCAAAAGCAGCAGCUACUCUUCCUGGGGUCCACACAAAACAUGAAACAUAAUACAGAAUGACAUACAGUAAGACAGAACAUAAUAAGACAAGAACAGCUCAAGGACAGAACUACAUACAUUUUAAAAAGGCACACGUAGCCUACAUAUCAAUGCAUACACACAAACUAUCUAGGUCAAAUAGGGGAGAGGCGUUGUGCCGCGAGGAGUUGCUUUAUCUGUUUUUUUUAAACCAAGUUUGCUGUUUGAGCAAUAUUAGAUGGAAGGAAGUUCCAUGCAAUAAGGGCUCUAUAUAAUGCCCACAAGUUUUCUUGAAUUUGUUCUGGAUUUGGGGACUUUGAAAAGACCCCUGUUGGCAUGUCUGGUGGGAUAAGUGUGUGUGUCAGAGGUAUAAGUUGACUAUGCAAACAAUUUGGGAUUUCAACACAUUAAUGUUACUUAUAAAAAGAAGAAGUGAUGCAGUCAGUCUCUCCUCAACUCUUAGCCAAGAGAGACUGGCAUGCAUAGUAUUAAUAUUAUCCCUCUGACUACAAUUAAGAGCAAAACGUGCCACUCUGUUCUGGGCCAGCUGCAGCAUAACUACUGUAGGUCUUUCCUUGCAGCACUGGACCACACGACUGGACAAUAAUCAAGAUUAGACAAAACUAGAGCCUGCAGAACUUGCUUUUUGGAGUGUGCUGUCAAAAAAGCAGAGCAUCUCUUUAUUACGGCUAGACCUCUCCCCAUCUUUGCAAUUAGGUGCUGGCUUAAGGCUUAAAAGGAUAAACAUUCAACAUUGGCCAUCCUGUCAAUCCAGCAUGACUUCUGCCGCUUUCAAAUCAACUGGAAACUCGGAAUUGGGAAAUCUCAGACUUCAGUGACUUCAAGACAACUGGGAACUCGGGAAAAAAAAGAGCGACUGAAAAAAUACCUUUUGAACGGUCAUCCAACUUGUAAUUCCAAGUUGGGCACUCUGGCCUCUUUCUAGAGCUCCGACCUGAAGAUCACUGACAUCAUGAUUCAACCUUGUUUUUCUCCGAGUUCCUAGCUGUCUUGAAAGCACCAUAAAUCCAGAGAAUGACAGACUUUGAUGACAAAGUUUGAUGACAAAAUUUGCCCACGAAGGACCGCCGCGCCACAUUUGUUCAUGUGAGCACAGCACAACAAGGUGAGUCCAAAAAUGUAUUGUAUGCUGCUGCAUAAAUGAUGUAAUAUGCCAGGGAGAUAUGUAUAUUGUAGCUAAGAAAGAAAUAGUAAGUGUACGUUGUGUAGUAAGCUGUUUGUAGCCCAUGUGCCUCACACUUUCCCCUCAUAACUUAGCAUACUGUUCUGACCUGGUGGUACACAUGUAGCCUAUAGCCUGUUUUAGAGAAAUGCCAUCAUUGAAUAUUGUAAGAGCUUUCAUUGUCUGCUUAUAUGCCCCUUUUAUUUAUCCUAAAGUUCUGACUUGGUGUACAGGGAGAAUACUGUAAGAACAGCCCAUGUUCUGAAUUCUGUCGCUGUACAUUUCAAAAGUGCUGAACAAAUAAAUAUAUUGACUACGUCCGUCCUAG
rnacentral:lncRNA from 8 species